GACGAACGCUGGCGGCGUGCUUAACACAUGCAAGUCGAACGGAAAGGCCCUGCUUUUGUGGGGUGCUCGAGUGGCGAACGGGUGAGUAACACGUGAGUAACCUGCCCUUGACUUUGGGAUAACUUCAGGAAACUGGGGCUAAUACCGGAUAGGAGCUCCUGCUGCAUGGUGGGGGUUGGAAAGUUUCGGCGGUUGGGGAUGGACUCGCGGCUUAUCAGCUUGUUGGUGGGGUAGUGGCUUACCAAGGCUUUGACGGGUAGCCGGCCUGAGAGGGUGACCGGCGACAUUGGGACUGAGAUAGGGCCCAGACUCCUACGGGAGGCAGCAGGGGGGAAUAUUGCACAAUGGGCGGAAGCGUGAUGCAGCAACGCCGCGUGCGGGAUGACGGCCUUCGGGUUGUAAACAGCUUUCGCCUGUGACGAAGCGUGAGUGACGGUAAUGGGUAAAGAAGCACCGGCUAACUACGUG
rnacentral:rRNA from 1 species